UACGUAGGGGGCAAGCGUUAUCCGGAUUUACUGGGUGUAAAGGGAGCGUAGACGGCGAUGCAAGCCAGAUGUGAAAGCCCGGGGCUCAACCCCGGGACUGCAUUUGGAACUGUGUGGCUGGAGUGUCGGAGAGGCAAGUGGGAUUCCUAGUGUAGCGGUGAAAUGCGUAGAUAUUAGGAGGAACACCAGUGGCGAAGGCGGCUUGCUGGACGAUGACUGACGUUGAGGCUCGAAAGCGUGGGGAGCAAACAGG
rnacentral:rRNA from 1 species